rnacentral:misc_RNA from 1 species
UUUCCGUAGGUGAACCUGCGGAAGGAUCAUUAUCGUACAAAAUGUGAGGGGCAUGCGAGGGCUGUCGCUGACCCAAAAGUCAUGCACGCCCGAGUGUGUCCUCUUGCAUAAUAAUCCAUCUCACCCUUUGUGCAUCACCGCGUGGGCACCCUUCGGGAUCAUCUCGGAGGGGGGCUCGCGUUUUCACACAAACCCCCCUUUUAAAAGUGUAGAAUGACCACAUUUAUGCAAUCAAUACAACUUUCAACAACGGAUCUCUUGGCUCUC